rnacentral:misc_RNA from 1 species
AGUACAUACGAGCAGUCUGCGGGCAAUGAGAGUGAAAUCUUGCAGCGAUUCUCACACCAACAUCCAACAUCUCCAUAUACUUCCCCAUCUCUGUUUCUUUAUAUCUCCCCUUCUCUCCAGGAUACAAACUUUCUUGGAAACUGUUUGUUUUCCAAGAAACAGAAAGAAAACGAGAAAGAAAAAGGAAAAUGAAGAGAGAGAGAGAGGAAAGAAUUGCUAGAAGGCGUCCCAGACGUG